rnacentral:misc_RNA from 1 species
CAUAAACAAGCCUAAUAACAAAUAUGUUUAUGAUAUUGCUUUGAAGCACAUUCACAAAUCUAAAAAUAUAAAGUUUGGCUCAUUUUUAUAGGAAAAUUUUGAAAAUUAAGUAACAAAUAGAAUUCUUUUGAUACCAUUAAUAAAAGACACAAGCAAGAUACCAAGCCAAUCUCCAAACCAUUCAAAAUGGCUUGAGCCAAGAGAAUGGCGCAAGAAAUUUAUUCAUUAUGUGCAAGUUGGAAAUGAGAAACCUUUGUUAUCAAAUAUAAAUUUCU